rnacentral:rRNA from 1 species
CUUUACUAUAGCCUGGAAUUGUGUUCGGGCUUCGCUUACGCAGGAUAGGUGGGAGGCUGUGAAGUUCUGCUUGUGGGCAGAAUCGAGCCAACGGUGAGAUACCACUUUAGCGAGGCUAGAAUUCUAACUUUGACCCGUUAUCCGGGCAGAGAACAGUAUCAGGUGGGCAGUUUGACUGGGGCGGUCGCCUCCUAAAUGGUAACGGAGGCGCGCAAAGGUUCUCUCAGCACGCUUGGAAACCGUGCGGCGAGUGUAAAGGCAUAAAGGGAGCUUGACUGCAAGACCGACAAGUCGAGCAGGUACGAAAGUAGGCCUUAGUGAUCCGACGGCGCAGAGUGGAAUGGCCGUCGCUCAACGGAUAAAAGUUA